UGGGGAAUUGUUCGCAAUGGGCGCAAGCCUGACGACGCAACGCCGCGUGGAGGAUGAAGACCUUCGGGUCGUAAACUCCUUUCGAUCGAGACGAAUGGCCCUUGGGCUAAUCACCAGGGGAAUGACGGUACCGAGAGAAGAAGGUGCGGCCAACUACGUGCCAGCAGCCGCGGUGACACGUAGGCACCAAGCGUUGUCCGGAUUUAUUGGGCGUAAAGAGCUCGUAGGCGGUUCGGUAAGUCGGGUGUGAAAACUUUGGGCUUAACCCAAAGCCUGCAUCCGAUACUGCUGUGACUAGAGUUCGGUAGGGGAGCGGGGAAUUCCUAGUGUAGCGGUGAAAUGCGCAGAUAUUAGGAGGAACACCGGUGGCGAAGGCGCCGCUCUGGGCCGAUACUGACGCUGAGGAGCGAAAGCGUGGGUAGCAAACAGGAUUAGAUACCCAUGUAGUCCCUGAGCGGGCUGGCAAGGCGCAU
rnacentral:rRNA from 1 species